ensembl:lncRNA
CUUAAACAAAAAUAAUAAUAUCAUCAUAAUUGGCACAAUGCUUUUAUUUUGGAGACGCAAUUCUUGUUCUUGAACUUUUAUUUUGGAAUGGACUCUGCUGAUGGUACCUAGCUUCUCUGCCCCCACCAUCGCAACGACUGACUGCUUGUUUCGCUCAGUUUGGGCCACGCUAAGUGAUUAUGCUAAAUUGCUUGGAUGACUUAUGGGAAAGUACUGUACCGCACAGGAGUUUGUUAUUGGCACAUAGAGUAAAACGUGUAAAUAUAUUUUAACAGCCACGUUAGAACGACAAAUCUGCAAACCUCCUAGCUAAAUAUGGAUAUUACUUUGUUUGCUAGGUACAGUCAUUCUCAAUUUUGCCAACAACACCUAAGAAGAAAAUAGGAGUGCUAAGGAUUCCCUGCAAACAAAACCCAUCAUCCCCGGAGAGAGGCAGCCAUGAUGGUGGCCACUGACAGAAAGAGGCUUUCAAGGAGCUGGAGACAAAAGCCAGUGAACAGCACACACUGACCCCAGAGAGUCCAGAUAAUCCCAUCCCAUUCAAGGCUUUGAACUCUUGCAGGACUGGCAGGCAGAGGGGUUUGCACGCUGAUCUUUCGCAUCAACCAUCACUGCACUACAGACUGCAAAUAAUCGAUACGUAUCAUUUUGAAUGGUGUGACCAGGACCUUGUGACUACAGAGAGAGGGCACCUCUUACCUACACCUGGUUGUAGUGUCAUUGAUUGGACCACCUGACAUCAAUUACCCACUUUGGAAGUCAUCGUUAUCACAGAGAUACACAUACUUUUUCCAGGCUAAGCUGUUUAUGUUUGACCAAUGUGUUCAAUAAAACUACACAUUUCUGUGUGGUAUUUUUUAAAUAACAGUGAUAAUGUAUUAUUAUGACUUGGAUGUAAAUCAGGAUGCAUUUUAGUCAGUUAUGCAGGUAAUUCAGAAGAACUUACAACCUUUUAUCGCAAAUGUACCUGUUAGCCACAAUAUUCCAAGUUUGAAAGCAAAUGGUUUUGAUGGCAUGGGGCCCAUAUGGAUACACAUGAUACAGUACACCAUUUCUUGGGUGUGGUUUUGGCUCAGCAGCAAGUCAAAACCUAGUCAGAGCAUCUAGAUCUUCU